rnacentral:rRNA from 1 species
GCGGCAGGCCUAACACAUGCAAGUCGAACGGUAACAGGAAGAAUCUUGCUUCUUUGCUGACGAGUGGCGGACGGGUGAGUAAUGUCUGGGAAACUGCCUGAUGGAGGGGGAUAACUACUGGAAACGGUAGCUAAUACCGCAUAACGUCGCAAGACCAAAGAGGGGGACCUUCGGGCCUCUUGCCAUCGGAUGUGCCCAGAUGGGAUUAGCUAGUAGGUGGGGUAACGGCUCACCUAGGCGACGAUCCCUAGCUGGUCUGAGAGGAUGACCAGCCACACUGGAACUGAGACACGGUCCAGACUCCUACGGGAGGCAGCAGUGGGGAAUAUUGCACAAUGGGCGCAAGCCUGAUGCAGCCAUGCCGCGUGUAUGAAGAAGGCCUUCGGGUUGUAAAGUACUUUCAGCGGGGAGGAAGGGAGUAAAGUUAAUACCUUUGCUCAUUGACGUUACCCGCAGAAGAAGCACCGGCUAACUCCGUGCCAGCAGCCGCGGUAAUACGGAGGGUGCAAGCGUUAAUCGGAAUUACUGGGCGUAAAGCGCACGCAGGCGGUUUGUUAAGUCAGAUGUGAAAUCCCCGGGCUCAACCUGGGAACUGCAUCUGAUACUGGCAAGCUUGAGUCUCGUAGAGGGGGGUAGAAUUCCAGGUGUAGCGGUGAAAUGCGUAGAGAUCUGGAGGAAUACCGGUGGCGAAGGCGGCCCCCUGGACGAAGACUGACGCUCAAGUGCGAAAGCGUGAGGAGCAAACAGGAUUAGAUACCCUGGUAGUCCACGCCGUAAACGAUGUCGACUUGGAGGUUGUGCCCUUGAGGCGUGCUUUCCGGAGCCUAACGCGUUAAGUCGACCGCCUGGGGAGUACGGCCGCAAGGUUAAAACUCAAAUGAAUUGACGGGGGCCCGCACAAGCGGUGGAGCAUGUGGUUUAAUUCGAUGCAACGCGAAGAACCUUACCUGGUCUUGACAUCCACGGAAGUUUUCAGAGAUGAGAAUGUGCCUUCGGGAACCGUGAGACAGGUGCUGCAUGGCUGUCGUCAGCUCGUGUUGUGAAAUGUUGGGUUAAGUCCCGCAACGAGCGCAACCCUUAUCCUUUGUUGCCAGCGGUCCGGCCGGGAACUCAAAGGAGACUGCCAGUGAUAAACUGGAGGAAGGUGGGGAUGACGUCAAGUCAUCAUGGCCCUUACGACCAGGGCUACACACGUGCUACAAUGGCGCAUACAAAGAGAAGCGACCUCGCGAGAGCAAGCGGACCUCAUAAAGUGCGUCGUAGUCCGGAUUGGAGUCUGCAACUCGACUCCAUGAAGUCGGAAUCGCUAGUAAUCGUGGAUCAGAAUGCCACGGUGAAUACGUUCCCGGGCCUUGUACACACCGCCCGUCACACCAUGGGAGUGGGUUGCAAAAGAAGUAGGUAGCUUAACCUUCGGGAGGGCGCUUACCACUUUGUGAUUCAUGACUGGGG